rnacentral:rRNA from 1 species
GACGAACGCUGGCGGCGUGCUUAACGCAUGCAAGUCGAACGGAAAGGCCCUGCUUUUGUGGGGUGCUCGAGUGGCGAACGGGUGAGUAACACGUGAGUAACCUGCCCUUGACUUUGGGAUAACUUCAGGAAACUGGGGCUAAUACCGGAUAGGAGCUCCUGCUGCAUGGUGGGGGUUGGAAAGUUUCGGCGGUUGGGGAUGGACUCGCGGCUUAUCAGCUUGUUGGUGGGGUAGUGGCUUACCAAGGCUUUGACGGGUAGCCGGCCUGAGAGGGUGACCGGCCACAUUGGGACUGAGAUACGGCCCAGACUCCUACGGGAGGCAGCAGUGGGGAAUAUUGCACAAUGGGCGGAAGCCUGAUGCAGCAACGCCGCGUGCGGGAUGACGGCCUUCGGGUUGUGAACCGCUUUCGCCUGUGACGAAGCGUGAGUGACGGUAAUGGGUAAAGAAGCACCGGCUAACUACGUG